CAGAUUUCCAAGGCGUGGAACAUUUUAGCCCUGGAUGGAAGCAACUGGCAAAGAAUAGACCUUUUUAAUUUUCAAACAGAUGUAGAGGUUGUUAUUCCAUUAGACCAGCAGCAGGAGGACUAAGGCAUUUCCCUGCCUUCCUUGCUUCCAGGGCCGCGUGGUG